rnacentral:rRNA from 1 species
UACAGAGGUGGCAAGCGUUUGUUCGGAAUUACUGGGCGUAAAGGGCGCGUAGGCGGCCUUCUAAGUCAGACGUGAAAUCCCCCGGCUUAACCUGGGAACUGCGUCUGAUACUGGAGGGCUUGAGUAUGGGAGAGGGAUGUAGAAUUCCAGGUGUAGCGGUGAAAUGCGUAGAUAUCUGGAGGAAUACCGGUAGCGAAGGCGGCAUCCUGGACCAUUACUGACGCUGAGGCGCGAAAGCUAGGGGAGCAAACGGGG